rnacentral:rRNA from 1 species
CCCUUAGAUGUUCUGAACCGCACGCGUGUUACACUGAUGCAUUCAACGAGCUUUACCUUGGCCGAGAGGCCUGGGAAAUCUUUUUAGCAUGCAUCGUGAUAGGGAUUGAUUAUUGCAAUUAUUAAUCAUGAACGAGGAAUUCCUAGUAAACGCAUUUCAUCAAAAUGCAUUGAUUACGUCCCUGCCCUUUGUACACACCGCCCGUCGCACCUACCGAUUGAGUGGUCCGGUGAAGUCUCGAGAUUGUGGCAAUCUCCUUUAUUGGAGUUUGACUGCGAGAACUUGCCUAAGCCUUAUCACUUAGAGGAAGGUGAAGUCGUAACA